UCAGUUCGGAUCGGAGUCUGNAACCCGACUACAUGAAGCCGGAAUCGCUAGUAAUCGCGGAUCAGAAUGCCGCGGUGAAUACGUUCCCGGGUCUUGUACACACCGCCCGUCACACCAUGGGAGUCGGAAAUGCCCGAAGUCUGUGACCCAACCGCAAGGAGGGAGCAGCCGAAGGCAGGUCGGAUGACUGGGGUGAAGUCGUAACAAGGUAAC
rnacentral:rRNA from 1 species